GAUUCCCCUCUCCAGCACCCGCUGAACUCAGUGCAUGCUGCAGAGGGAAACUGACAAGUAUUUUUCCUUGGCUUUAAAGGGUGGGGGGAGCCCCAUCCCACCCCUUAAAGCCAAGGGAAAACAGU